GCUGCAUGGCUGUCGUCAGCUCGUGUUGUGAAAUGUUGGGUUAAGUCCCGCAACGAGCGCAACCCUUAUCCUUUGUUGCCAGCGGUCCGGCCGGGAACUCAAAGGAGACUGCCAGUGAUAAACUGGAGGAAGGUGGGGAUGACGUCAAGUCAUCAUGGCCCUUACGACCAGGGCUACACACGUGCUACAAUGGCGCAUACAAAGAGAAGCGACCUCGCGAGAGCAAGCGGACCUCAUAAAGUGCGUCGUAGUCCGGAUUGGAGUCUGCAACUCGACUCCAUGAAGUCGGAAUCGCUAGUAAUCGUGGAUCAGAAUGCCACGGUGAAUACGUUCCCGGGCCUUGUACACACCGCCCGUCACACCAUGGGAGUGGGUUGCAAAAGAAGUAGGUAGCUUAACCUUCGGGAGGGCGCUUACCACUUUGUGAUUCAUGACUGGGGUGAAGUCGUAACAAGGUAACCGUAGGGGAACCUGCGGUUGGAUCACCUCCUUACCUUAAAGAAGC
rnacentral:rRNA from 1 species